rnacentral:tRNA from 1 species
AGUUCAACUGGAUAGAAUAUCAGAUUUCGGCUCUGAGGGUUGGGGGUUCGAAUCCUCCC